UACAGAGGGUGCAAGCGUUAAUCGGAAUUACUGGGCGUAAAGCGUGCGCAGGCGGUUUUGUAAGUCAGAUGUGAAAGCCCCGGGCUCAACCUGGGAACUGCGUUUGAAACUGCAAGGCUAGAGUGUAGCAGAGGGGGGUAGAAUUCCACGUGUAGCAGUGAAAUGCGUAGAGAUGUGGAGGAAUACCAAUGGCGAAGGCAGCCCCCUGGGUUAACACUGACGCUCAUGCACGAAAGCGUGGGGAGCAAACAGG
rnacentral:rRNA from 1 species